UACGGGGGGGGUAAGCGUUGUUCGGAAUUACUGGGCGUAAAGGGCUCGUAGGCGGCCAACUAAGUCGGACGUGAAAUCCCUCAGCUUAACUGGGGAACUGCGUCCGAUACUGGAUGGCUUGGAUUUGGGAGAGGGAUGCGGAAUUCCAGGUGUAGCGGUGAAAUGCGUAGAUAUCUGGAGGAACACCGGUGGCGAAAGCGGACUUCUGGGUUGUUACUGACGCUGAGGUACGAAAGCGUGGGGAGCAAACAGG
rnacentral:rRNA from 1 species